AAUCAUUGUAACUCCAGACUAGAACAUGAAAUAACUCUCUUUGCUGAUCUUCUCCUAAUCCUUUUCCCUUCUGCAGGGACCAUAAACUAUCAGCAUAUACCUUCUCCCACUCCAUCACUGAAGGUUUUGUUACAAGAAUACCGCCUAAAAUGACUAUAGCUAGUGGAAGACCGGCACAUUUUUUAACCAUUUCUCUUCCCAUUUUUUCCAUCACUGUAAAUGUAUCUCUAGAAUCUAUAACACACAAAAACAAAGAAUCACAAACACAUACAUAUUAUCUAUAAACAAAUGUAUAUAGACUUAACAUAAUUUCAUAUUUAUUUGAUAAUUGGCUAAAAUAAUUUUUGUUGUGCCUUUAAAAUAGAUAAACCACUAAUGUAAUUAAGGGUUGACUGUCAAAGAUAUUUCACCCUCUUUUGUUGGUAAAAAGUUACUUAGUGUCGAUAGCUUUUGUAAUUGCAAGUUUGAAAUCUUGAAACAAGUUAUAAUAUACUAAAUCGGGAAUUAAUUUCCAAGUCUAUACUAUUAACUUUACAUAUAUCACCUGAGUUGAAACAGAUCUAGUAUCAUUGGAUUGGACAUUUUCAGUAAUGUUCUUGAACUUUAUUCUUUGGAAUGAUUGUCUACCUAUAUGUACUAUAGUGAAUUAAACAUAAUAAUUAAUGCAAGUAAAAUAUAUACCUAGAUGAUCCCCUCUGGGAAGUGCUUUCAACUUAAGUAGCUCCCAACUUUGUUCUGCGUUUAGGCAUUCUGGUUGGUAUAUGACUCCUUCUCGAUUUACAUGCACAGCAACCUCCACAUUACUGCUGGUAAGCAUUAAUAUGCUCAUAGAUGUUCCAGUUGUGAAGGCCGAUUUCAUAGAAUCCCAAGCAUCAGUAGUCCAUAUGUCAUCAAGGACAAUUAAGCAUUUUUUUUUUUCGCUGAAUUUCUAGCAGAUUCUUCACUAACUUGUCAUCGUCCCAAGUAAGUAUUUCCUCUUUCUUUUCAUGGAUGAGACAUAUCAGUAUUCGCUGCAACACCAGUUUCGUUUGCCACUUCUGCGAAAUGGAAACCCAGGCUAAACCAGCAAAGGAUGCUUUAAUGGUUGGAUGAUUGUAUAUUUUUUGAGCAAGAGUUGUCUUACCUAGACCUCCCAUUCCACAAAUAGAGAUAAGCGGGUAACAAUCAUCACUUUCAUUCAUUAAAUGUCCCACCAGUCGAUCAACGUCUCCAUGAAAUCCAACAAAUAUCUCUGGCUCAAGGGUUUUGAAAGAGUGAAAUCGCUUUAGCUUUCCAGGUGCUUCAGAUGAUGAAUUUGAUGAUUCUGAUGUUGAUUUAAUGUUAUUUUCACGAAUACGAUCAGAGAGGAGAGACAUCUUGCUUUCUAUAUCUUUGAUCUUGAUUGCUUGAUUUCUUCUGUUCCAUGCAGAGGAUGAAGCUUUAACAAUAAAGGUUUCUACAACAUGUUCAGCAUCAUAAGCAAGUGCUCGUAUGUCAGCAACCAAAGUCCGGACUUGAUACUCACUUAUCCUCGAAUCAGCAUCUUGUAAGAAUGUCUUCAUCAACUCGAGCUUGGUCACCACUUGUUGAAUUUCAUCCUUGAGUCCAUGAAGAGCCACGGGUUCUUCAAUCAAUAAAUCAGUAAGCCUUGCCACAACAAUUGACACUACUGCUUCAGCCAUUUGCAAUUCUUAGCCUUCUUUUUUAGAAUCACUAGAGAUUUAGGACACAAUUAUAAGGUCUGGAAAAUAGAACUGUUGAUUUAGGACAUCAUUUAAGGAUAUUGUUGAACUUGCCAUAAUAGAGAUCUUGAAGUGACGCGAUACUCAUUCCUAAUUAACAACGUGUUGCCUCUAGUUCUUUACUUUUAUGCGGGAGCACUACUACUGGUGCUGUACCAGUUCUGCAGCUAUAUUCGACAAAUACUGAUUCGUGGAGUGUUGUACACGGGUCAUCAAGGAGAUAUAGUUUCGUUUGAUUUGCACAAUGCGGUAAUCACAUGAAAAGAGGAAACUCUUAAAGAGUCUUUAAAUGCCAAUAAAAAAAAUAUAUUAUACAAUAUCGCAUAUAAUAUUCAAAUUUAAAUAAGCCUAAUAUAAUUUGGUAUUCUCUUCAUACUAUGGUACUCAUCUUUCAUCUUACAUACGAUACUCUUUUGUCAAAUGCGUAACUCAAUAAAGUAACUUAAAAAGGCCUAUAUUAUUCUCGUCACGUCACGUGUGUACCACAUGAGUAUAUAGGAAAAAAUUGAUCAUGGUUUGAUACUAAAAUCACAAAUACUUAACUGAAUACUCAAUUCGUACGCCGCCCGCCCGUUAAAAAACACCGACCCUGACAGUACGAUUGAAUUAAUUGGACACCGACCCUGGCAGUACAAUUGAAUUAAUUGGAGACCUCAAAGCAUCGUCUACACUCUAGAUCCGAAGGUAAUUAACUUUUCAUUUUGUGAAAGCCUAAAUUUAUGUGUGUGUUUACAUUUCAUUUCACAUCUUGACGCUAUUAUCUCAAAAUUCGAAAUGACUUAUUGAGCUUCUCAUUUGUAAUAUGUUGAAGUUCUAUGUUUAAUUAUUUUUAUAAAAAAUGUUUGUGUACGGUGGUGCCGGGGACCGGUGAAGACCCUACUCAGUUCCAAACUUUAAUAGAUGAUUUUUCUGAAUUUCAACUUUUAGUUGAAAAUUAGUAAAAAUAAUCUUUUAGGAUCUAAUUGAUAUGACGUGAGAAAAGUUAACUAAAUGUAAUUUUAGCUUCAGUUAUUUUUGGUAUAUAUCGGUAAUCCCGGUUAUUUGUAACUAUGGUUUGUGUAUACAUGUGGGUGUAUAUGAUCCUCAAGUUGUAUAUGUAUAUGCGUGUUGAUGUUUUAAGGGCUUGAAUUGGGGAUUUACUAAAUUUCUGAAUUUUGGAUUUGUUAUGAUGGAGUAUAUGAUUCGUUACACUGUUGUGUGACAUUGAAGUUCAAAUUGAUUUCUCGUUUCAACUGGACUCGAAAUUUGCUCUGGUUCUGUUUCCACAGGUGUAGUUUUUCGUGAGCUCGACAGUCUUGGAACAUAAUGGCAUGCUCAAAGUUCGUUUUGCCUGAUGAGAUGCUUACUGAAAUAUUUUAUUUGCUUCCCGCUAAAUCACUGAUGAGGUGUAGUUCGGUCUGCAAGUCAUGGCUAUCUAUUAUCUCAGACCCCGAAUUCAUUAAAACACACUCGUACUACAGACGUAUUAGAGCGGACAAGGAAGCUUCAGUGUUGAUGAUUGGUGAAUCGGUUUUGACAGACAUUACUCGACUAGUCUGUCCCAGCUAUAAAUGUUAUCUAUAUAGGCCGCGCCAGUUCACAGUUAUUAACAAGGACCCAGCUGUGUGCGUGAAUAAGGCAUAAUCAGCCAUGGAUUGUUUAAAAUCCAUAGUAAGGAGAAAAUCAGACAACUUCUUGUUCCACUGUCGUGAGGCCUAUCGAAGUCCAUAAAUGGACUUAAUAAGACGACAAACAAAGUGUGCAGUAGAAGGGGUCAGUUUGUAUCCCGGUGGCACAUCCAUAUACACCUCUUCAACUAAAUCGCCGUGCAAAAAGGCAUUGUUAAUAUCAAGUUGAAAUAAAGGCCAGUUUUUGGAAGAAGCAAGUGCCAUAACUGCCUUGACUGUAACCCCUUUAGCAACCGGUGCGAAAGUGUCAUGAAAGUCCACUCCUGGCUCCUGGGUAUAACCUUUAGCGACGAGACGCGCUUUGUAUCGAUCAAUCUCACCAUUGGCAUGGUAUUUAAUUUUAAAAACCCAUCUACAGCCAAUGGUUUGCUUGCCAGCUGGUAAAGGAACCAAAAUCCAGGUGUUGUUCGAUUCCAAGGCAGUAAGCUCCUUGUUCAUGGCAUCAACCCAUUUCGGAUCAAGUACUGCCUUAGCAAAAGAUUUGGGUUCAACAGCCUUAUGCAACUGAACCAUGAAGGCUUGAUGAUCUGGGGAAUAAGCAUGUGAAGACACAAAAUUGGCAAGAAGAUACUUAACAAUAGAGUUACACUUAUAAUCAUUCCACCAGGCAGGAUGGUGCCUUUCACGAGUUGAUUUUCGCAGAAAAUGAUCAGCUGAAAACGAUGGUAAAUCAUCAUCAGGAUGCAAACUAACCAACGUAUCAUUAUCAGGAGGUAAAGUAGUCCAAUCAUCAUCAACAUGGGAUGAAGCAGUAGGUGAUGUGGUGGAAACAUUAGGUGUUGGAACAACGUCUGGUACUGGCAACACAUUAGGUACAGAUUGAGAAGGAAGUACAGGACUAGAUGAAUCAUCAAUAUCAGACAACCAAUGUUGCAGCUGAUGAGGAUCAGUGUUGACAGUAGAAUGAGUAUCAUUCAGAAAAGGAAAAGUCUGCUCAUGAAAUAUCACAUGCCGUGAUACAAAUAUCUGCUUAGUAGCAAGAUUCAAGAGCUUAUACCCUUUACAUCCAUAGGGAUAGCCAACAAAUACAGAUCGAAUUGCACGAGGAUCAAAUUUAUUGGAAUCAUGAACAGAGGCAUAACAUAGGCAACCAAACACUUUGAAAACACUAUAGUCAGGAAGCGAAUGAUACAAACAUUCAAAAGGAGUUUUGUUAUCCAAAACAGGCGAAGGAACUCUGUUUAUGAUGAAAGUAGCAGUUAAAAUACACUCCCCCCAGAACUUGAUGGGUAAACCAGACUGGAAACGAAGUGAACGAGCAAUAGCUAAAAUUUGUCGAUGACGACGCUCGACACGACCAUUCUGCGCUGGUGUGCCUACACACGAUGCCUGAUGCAUCACCCCUUUAUCAGCCAGAAAAGCAUUCAAAGUGGCAUUGAAAAACUCUGUGCCAUUAUCACUACGAAUUACUUUGAUAUUGACACCAAACUGAGUGUGAACAUGCUCAAAAAAUUGUUUAAGUUGGGAAAACACGUGCUGUUUGGAAGGAAGCAAAAAAGUCCAAACAUUACGCGUAUGGUCAUCGACAAUAGUAAGGAAGUAACGACAUCCAUUAUGAGUUUCAGAAGCAUAAGGACCCCAUAAAUCGACGUGAAUGAGAUCAAAAGGUAGAGUUGCUCUGCUAGAACUCACAGGAAAGGGUAGUUUGGUUUGUUUGGAAAUUGGGCAAAUUGGACACUGUUUAUUGCAAUCAGAUACGACAGUGGAAGAAAUGUCAGGGAUAUGAUGUAGAACAUCAUUAGAGACAUGUCCCAAACGUAAAUGCCAAAGGGCACUGAGUUUAGUCUUAGAUGUAACACUAUUAACAACAGGAGAGUGAACAUUAAGACUCUGAAAUUCCAGAUGGAAUAACCCUGCGAUCAAUCGCCCAAAGCCUAAAGCACUAUCAGACUUAUCAUGGCGAAACUCACAAUGCGCUACAUAAAAGGAAACAUAUCCGCCAGUAUCCUUAAUCCACUUUGACACAGAUAAUAGAUUAUAGGUAAAAGAAGGCACAUAAAAAACAUUGUGAAGGACUAAUGUAGGAUGUAUGCGAAAUGUCCCGGACUGUGUAACAGAAAUGACUGCUCCAUUUGGCAGGGAUAGAGUGAUAGGCCUUGGUAAAGUGACCACAUCAGUAAGCAUAGCCAAAGAACAACACAUAUGGUCUGUUGCUCCCGUGUCAAUCAACCAAGUAUACAAACAGUAAGGAGUAGCAACAGAAUUAACAGUUGAAGUGACCAUACCUGCCAAAUGAUCCUCAGGGCUAUUUGAAGUUUUCCCAGUGUUCAUAAGAAAGCUCAUCAUCUGAUUCAUCUGAUUAAGCUGAUGUUGCAUCUGAACUAGCUGGUCAUUUGAUGGAUUAUUAGAGACAUUAUGUGUCAAAGCAGCAGUGGCACCAGGACUAGAACCAUUAGUAGGAUUAGGCAAAGAUCGAAAUUGACCAGAAACACUAGAAGCACCAGGACUGUCCUUCUUUUUCUUCCAAUUCGGAGGAUAGCCAAUCAACUUGUAGCAUUGCUCCCUUGUGUGUCCAGUAAAAUUGCAAUAAGAACACUUGAGUGUAGACUUAUUAGCACCAGAUAAUUGCUUCUUUUGGCCAGUCGAAAAAUUAUCCACUGUUGCUGCAUUGAUGCUUGCAACAACAGGUGCUGCUGGGAUGGAUGAAUUAAACCCUUGCCUUGCCUUUUCAUCCUGCUUGACAAAGGCAUAGGCCUGAGACAAAGUGGGCAUAGGAUCCAUCAAUAGAAUUUGACCACGAAUAUUGGCAUUACUAUCAUGCAAACCCAUGAGAAAUUGAAGAAGCUUUCGUUUCUGCUCUCUUUCAACUUGCUUCUUGUGAGAACCACAAACACAAGUAAUUGUGGGUUCAAGCACUAAAUAUUCAUCCCAUAAGGCCUUUAGCUUGUGAAAAUAAACUUCAACAGAUCUGUUACCCUGCUCUAAGCUAUGAAUAUCCUUCAAUACUUGAUACACUCUGUGUCCAUUGACACCAGAAAAGCGUUCACGAAGUUCAAUCCAUACUUCAGAGGCAGUAGUUACAUAAUUCAGUCCAUCACUAAUGUCCUCAGCAACAGAAUUCAGGAUCCAGGUAAUGACAAGAUCAUUCACACGCUCCCAUUGAGCGAAGAGAGGCGAAGAGAUAUCAGGUUUGGCAUAAGUGCCAUUAACAAGAACAAAUUUAUUCCUAGCAUUGAGAGCUAUCCGCAUCGAUCGAGACCAGGGAGCAUAGUUAUCCGGACCAAUCAACUUCUUAGCAAUGAGGAUGAGACCAGGAUGAUCAUUAUUGUGUAGAUACAGUGGAUGUAAAUUGCUAUCAAUAGCCAUACAAUUGUAAACAACUUCGUUUUCAACUUCAUGUUCAUGAUUUUCCGAAUGAAAAUCCUCAUUAUGCAUUUCAUUAUGAGCAUGACUACCAGAAUCACCACUAACAAUGUGAUCACCAGUAACAACAUUAGCAAAACUAGAUCGCAUCAUGACUGUAAAUUUAGGGUUUCGAUGAAGAAAAACAAGAUAACAACAACAAAUCGAUCCAAUCGAGCAAAUCGACGAAAUCGAUGAAGAAACAGUGAUCAAAGCGAGAACAAAUCAAUCGAUGAAGAAGAAGAACAGGAAUGUAAAUUGAGAUGUAGGAAAAACCUGAUUCAGUCCAAUCGGAGAUGAAAUGCGGCACCGAAUCAACAACGCUAAAUUGAAAACGGAAACAGAGAGGUACUACGGAUCGAAAACAGUCAUGAAAGCUCUGAUACCAUAUUAGAAUUACAUGAUUCAUAUAAAACUUGAACAAGAACGGUGAAAAGUGCAGAGAUAUGGAAGCUUGAAGAGUAAGCUAAUAAGCUCUAGAGAGAGAAAAUAUUUCUAUAUUGCAAAAGUUGUUACAAACUGAACAAUAUCCAGGUAUAUAUACAAUUCAGAUAACUGCCUAAUGAGUGACAGCUGGACUACUACUUGCACCACUACUAAUUCCAUAUUCUACUUAUUAGAUCCAACUGUACUUGAGAAUGUAUAGCAUGUUGGACAGAGGCUUUGUGCUGUGGCUUCAAAUUAACUAGAGCAACUGAAUGAUCUGAAAUAGUUGCACUCGUAUUAGUUCCUCUAAUGGCAUUAUAUGUCUGGUAUGCGAUGUACACUGUUACCUCUGGAACCCAACAACCAAGCAGUGCAAGGAACUUCCUAGAUUUCCCCGUUAUGCCAAGGCUUUCGAAGACGAGGAUAACAAUUAUCUAGCAUUUGCUUUUGAUAGCAUCUCCGAUGACUACAAGGUUGUCCGGCUUCUACUCGAAGACACUACUACUGGUGAUGAUGUACCAAUUGUGCAGAUAUAUUCAGCAAAUAGUGAUUCCUGGAAAGAGAUUCAUUGUCAUGACUUCAUUGACAUAUGUGACUCAACUUUUGAAUUUGGUCCUGUGAUAAAUGGAACGUUGUAUGCAGGUGGUUGCGGAGAUAUAUUUUUGUUGAAUUUGAACAAUGAGCUGUGUACGGUGGUCCCGCUACCCAAUUCCUUGUUACAUUACUCAGAGAUUUUGGAUUUUGAAGGUUCUGCAGGGGUCAUCUUUGAAUCCCUUAGAAAAAGAUCAGAAAUAUGUCUAUGGACAUUGGAUCAUAUUGAUGGCGAAAUUUCUUGGACUAAAAAAUUAAAUAUUGCUCUAGCUGAAAUAACCUGGGUAUAUUCUUAUUUGGGUGGUGGACUGUUUUCUGGAGUCAAAGCGUUUUUGUGUCCUGAUGAACUCUUCUUGUAUGACUACAAGAAGAAAGAGUACAAACAUAUUCCGGUUCCAGUUGGCGGGCUGGAAACAUUUUUUAAAUACACAGAGACCCUUGCUUCAAUCAAAGAUUCUGAACGGCUUAUAAUUAAUAAGUUCGGUAAUUUUCUAUCCUCCCAAUAAUUGGAUGCUCUGAAACUUAUUGAUUGAUGGGCGUAUCUUGUUAGACUCAUUGCGAAGUAACGUUCAGGAUAGGUGCUGGAAUUCCGUUUCGGGUGUUAUGUACCUGCAAUUCUCAUCAUAUGCAAGGUAAUUUAGUUGCUGGUUUUAUUUUAAGGUUUCGUUUCAACUAUAAUCUGUAUUCUUAAUUCCGAGCUGAACUGCCAAAGUUGGGGUUGGGUGCUCUAUAAUUGUUUUAAUAUCAUCUCAAACUUGUGUAUGAUCUGAAUAUAAUAAGUUCAGGGAUGCGUAACAAGCUUAAACAUUUCAUAAAAUACAUUUUGUGCUUGUAGUUCAUAAAGAAGAAUUACAAAUAAAGUGUUUAAAUCAUCUGCAUUUUUCACCCAAAUUAAUGUCAGCUAUUUUAUUGCAAAGUAUUCAGAAAUACCAUAAGAACAUAGUAGAGAUGAAGGCACAAUAAUUUAUCUCUGAUCUACCACAAGAUAAAUCACCAUAAACACUAGUUUGCAAUGUGGAAUCUCGACAUAAACCAUCGCACUAAAAUGUAAAACGAUUCCUGGUCGAUUGGCGAAUAUCGAGGCAGUACGAAUUUGAUUUAAGUGGCACCUAGCUUCCUUGCAUCCUAACCUGGCAAUGGAAUUUGGUAGACAGUCACUAAUCCGAAAAAGGAUUGUGGACUUCAGAUGGUUUCAAGUGAUUAUCCGGUCUUCACAUGGGAAAUCCAUUUUUCUUUUUUGAAUCAUCUCCAGGUUCCAACACUUUUUGAGUUAUACGAUAUCUAUGUCAAUUUGUAAAGUGAUAACAUCGAUAUAUUGAUAGUCAUACGAUAAGUUACUGUAAGCUAGUCGAAGAACAAAAAAAGCCAAAGAAACAUCUAGCAGGAAAGAUCAACGAAUUGGUUCAUAGACAUCUCAUCAAUCAAACAUAUUGCUCCAGUUUCAGCCAACUAGCUUCAGAGUCAGAAGAAAGUCAGCACCCUCCUAGACACCGUACUCUUCAACCAGUUCGUCAAAUCAGAUCCCUUAAUUCAAUCCAAAUCAGUCACAAAAUUCCACGUAGAUUGGACUUCUUGAACCUUCACUAACCCUCUAUCUUUCUCCUCACUUUUCCUAAUCGCCUUCCGAUUGAUCUCGAAACUCACCUGACUCAUUCCUCACCCAAGCAGCAUAAGGCAAAACCUGUACUCAUUUCCUCCUCUUAUACUCAAAAUAUACUUUAUCAGCAUCGGUCGCAUAAAUGUCAAUAGUUUUACCCUGUUUAAGACAAAAUCUAUAGAACCAACAUCCAAUACUCGAACCAUAAGAUUCAUCGCUCCAACGUCAACAUAAAUGUAACAACUUUUAAAACUUAUAUCAACCAUCGACAGGUAUCUAAUAUUCCAUACAUUCCUUUCAAACGUGAUACAAGGCUUUAACAAUUCUUCACUAUUCAGCGGCUCUACAUGUCGAAAUUACCUCUUGUUUAAAAUACGAAAUGUAAUGUUAUCGCAGGCUUUUGUAAGAAUGGAUGAAGUUCAGUCACCACUUAGCACUUUAAUCAUAAAUAAUUUAUAUGAACAGAUAAAAGAGAUUUAAUUAUACAAUGAAAAUAUGCCAGCUUUGCCACAACCUUGAUAAAAAAAAUGGUUUGUCUAGUGUGUGCCCAUGUGCACAUGCUAAGCGCGAAAUUUUAUAUGUUUGGGAGAUUUUGAUUGGUGUGGUUGUUGCAUUUGCAGGGGGUCCAUCAUUAUUAAGAUACAGAAGCCAAUCAAAAUCUCUUAAAUUUAUAAAAUUCUGCGCACACUAAUGAAACCGUAAAAAAAAAUACCACAUUAAAGAAGAAAGCCCAUUUAUGAGUAAUGAAAAAUAGGAAAUUAACAGGUUUUGGGACUCUGCUUAUUCUACAUAUUGCCAGACAGUCCCAUUGUGAAUAGCAAAGUCAGGAACAUGAGCAACUCUGUAGAAGUCAUGUCCUUGUUGGCCAUUCACCUUGCGGAGUUUAUGUAUGAAAUCUGUAGGCAUAAAGUUUAACCUUAAACACCGAAGGGAAGUGAGAGAUAUCAUACCUUCGGGAAGCUCCUCUAACCUCCAACAACUAGUAAUGUUUAAGUAGGUGAGAACGGACAUGCUGCCUUCCUCUAUAUUCCAUUUCACCAAGUUGGGGAGGCCGUUAAGUUGAAGACUGGUGAGUUUGGGGAAACCCAUGGACGAGCACACCAUCUCCUUCCCCAGGAAUGUGAAGGAGGAUAAAUGGAGAUUACGAAGCGUAUGAAUCUUCUCCAGUACUGGCAUUGGGUCAUCUGCCAGGAACGAUGAAUCUAACUUCAAGGAAGUGAUACAAAUUGAAGAUUCUUCAACAUGAUUAUUAAUAUUCAGAGGUGGGUUCUCAAAUAACUGAGCCAAUUCUGCAAGGUGACCACAUAUGAAUAAUUUCUGAAGGAUGGAAUUAUAAUCCCUAAACAACUGUCUCACUUUAUCUCCCCGUUGAUCACAUAGAAUAAGAGAAAGUCCUAAGUACCGGAGAUUUGAAGAUGAUGACAAGGCUAAUGCUGCCAGAUUUUUCAUGGUCUCUUCAACAUCAUCAUGAACACUGACUACUUCUAAUGUUAGUUUCUGAAGAUUGAUUAGUUUGGGAAGAUCCUUAGGCUCACACCACUGAUUACUGAAGUUCUCCAAUAUCUCUAACUUGCCAAGCCCAUCAAAACAUAACUUUUGAUUAUCAUAAAAAACACGAUUAGUAUGAGGUAAGAAUAAGUGCCGCAAAUGACCCAGCUUGCCCAGAAUAUUUCUUGAAAACCAAGAUGGAAUAGAUAUACGCCUGAAUAAUAGAGAACUGGAUACAUCUAAUUUGAGAGUUUGGAGUAGCACCAUGUUCUGUAUUGAUGGAAUCAGUGACAAAGAAACAUUUCUCACACUAAGAUAUCUCAAGUACACAAGGCUUCCUAAUGCUCUCACAAAACUUCUAGGAUAAAUUAUACCAUCUACUGCUGCAUUUUCCAUGGAAAAAACUCUUAGGAACCUGAAAUUGGCAACAUGUGACCCCACUACUUUCGGCAAAAGUGGGUACGUUAAGGAAGUGUAUACACCGUUACUGAACAGUAACAUUGAUCGAUACUGUUGUUGCUUGAAUUUCUUGACAAAGUAGGAUUUAAUUUGUUUGGUUAUAUGUUUCUUAUGAUAAUAAACUACAAGUUGUCGAGUGUCAACCGACCUCAAAUCUGCUGAAGGAUUGAGAUGAAAAUCAUUUCUUUUUCGAAGAUCAAGAACUUCAAAAAAUCCUUCUGCUAUUGCUCUGGACAGAGAUAGGUCUCUCAUAAGGUCAUGAAGAGAGGCAGAUUUUAUCUUUGUAUGCGAGUUUCCCAUAUCUUCAUAUCUCACUUGAACCAUACUCCUAUGUACCAGUUCCCCCAUAUACGAUUCAGCUACUUGCAUCAUUGUCUCUCCUUCCCUUUUAUCAGUCGACAGUACCAACCCUUCUGCAAUCCAUAACUGAUAUAGAGUCUCUGCUUCUAUCUGUUCAUCUUCACCAAAUUUACCUAAAUACAGAAAACAUGGCUUUAAUUGUGGGGGUAAAUCAUUGUAACUCCAGACUAGAACAUGAAAUAAUUGUCUUUGCUGAUCUUCUCCCAAUCCUUUUCCCUUCUCCAGGGACCAUAAGCUAUCAGCAUAUACCUUCUCCCACUCCAUCACUGACGGUUUUGUUACUAGAAUACCGCCUAAAAUGACUAUAGCUAGUGGAAGACCGGCACAUUUUUUAACCAUUUCUCUUCCCAAUUUUUCCAUCACUGUAAAAAUAUUUCUGGAAUCUGUAACACACAAAAACAAAGAAUCAAAAAUAGACUAAAAACUAUCCAUUAUAAUCUCAAUCGAAUACACCGUUUUUAAUAAUUUGCUAAAACAAUUUCUCGCUAUGCCUUUAAAAUAGAUAAACCACUAAUGCAAUUAAGGGUUCACUGUCGAAGAUAUUUCACCCUCUUUUUUUGGUAAAAAUAUUACUUACUGUUGAUAGGUUUUCGAACCGCUUUUGUAAUUGCAAGUUUCAAAUUAUGAAACAAGUUAUACUAGACUAAAUCCGGAAUUUCCAAGUCUAUACUAUUAACUUUACAUAUAUCAUAUGAGUCGAAACAGAUCUAGUAUCAUUGAUUUGGACAUUUUCAAUAAUGUUCUUGAACUUUAUUCUUUGGAGUGAAUGACUAAAUGUAUAACUAUGUUUACUAUAGUGAAUGAAACAUAAUAAGUGCAAGUAAAGUGUCUACCUAGAUGAUAUCCUCUGGGAACUGCUUUCAACUUAAGUAGCUCCCAACUUUGUUCUUCAUUUAGGCAUUCUGGUUGGUAUAUAAAUCCUUCUCGAUUUACAUGCUCAGCAACCUCUGCAUUACGGCUGGUAAGCAUUAAUUUGCUCACAGAAGUUUUAGUUGUGAAGGCCGAUUUUAUAGAAUCCCAAGCAUCAGUAGUCCAUAUGUCAUCAAGGACUAUCAAGCAUUUUUUCCUCUGCUGAACUUCUAGCAGAUUCUCCACUAACUUGUCAUCGUCCCAAGUAAGUAUUUCCUCUUUCUUUUCAUGGAUGAGACAUAUCAGUAUUCUCUGCAACACAAGUUUCGUUUGCCACUCCUGCGAAAUGGAAACCCAGGCUAAACCAGCAAAGGAUGCUUUAAUGGUUGGAUGAUUAUAUAUUUUCUGAGCCAGAGUUGUCUUACCUAGACCUCCCAUUCCACAAAUAGAGAUAAGCGGGUAACGAUCAUCACUUUCAUUCACCAAAUGUCCCACAAGUCGAUCAACGUCUCCAUGAAAUCCAACAAAUAUCUCUGGCUCAAGGGUUUUGAAAGAGUGAAAUCGCUUUAGCUUUCCAGGUGCUUGAGACGAUGAAUUUGAUGAUUCUGAUGUUGAUUUAAUAUUAUUAUCACGAAUGCUAUCAGAGAGGAGAGACAUCUUGCUUUGUAUAUUUUUGAUCUUGACUGCUUGUUUUCUUCUGUUCCAUGCAGAGGAUGAAGGUUUAACAAUAAAGCUUUCCACAACAUGUUCAGCAUCAUAAGCAAGUGCUCGUAUGUCAGCAACCAAAGUCCGGACUUCAUACUCACUUAUCCUUGAAUCUGCAUCUCGUAAGAAUGUCUUCAUCAACUCGAGCUUGCUCACCACUUGUUGAAUUUCAUCUUUAAGUCCAUGAAGAGCCAGGGGUUCUUCAAUCAAUAAAUCAGUAAGCCUUGCCACAACAAUUGACACUACUGCUUCAGCCAUUCGGAAUUCUUUGCCUUCUUUGUGUAGGUAAAUUUCAGAGAGCUGGUGACAAACUUAUCGUAUAGUUUGACUUUAAUAUAGAUGGCAUACUAGAUUACUAGUGAUAUAAGCAAGUAGUUAUAAAUUAUAAGCAUGUGGGUGCAAAGUUCAACCACUGAGUAGCUCAUGGCUGCAUAAUAUUCGUCAGAACAAAACAAAUAUGACUCGGCAUGAAACUAUUAUUUGUUGUUAUCCUGUAUAAAACUAUUAGCAGCAAGUGGGAAAAAUUAAAUUAUUUCUUAGUUUUCCGUCACAAACAACAAUUAUGAGAACUGCACUGCACCUACCCUAAACAUGAAUGAUUACCAGAACACAGAGUUGAAAUUAAACAAAGUGUAUUUGGGCAGCUAAUAUUAAAAUUGGGAGUGAUCAGGAGGGGGCAGGUAGGCAGGGACGGAACCAGAAAUAUCUUCCGGGGGCGAAAUUUUAUUAAAAAAAUUUUAAGGACAAAAUACUACAAAAUCAUGACUUUUAGGGGACUAAAUACUACAAAUUAUGAAUUUUAAUCAUAUAAAUUGAUUAUAUAUAAGGGUUGGGAAGGUUUUUUUUUGGGGGAGGGGCUAAGACCACUCCAUACCCCCCUUGCCUCCGGCAGGUAGGUAUGAUGGAGCGUAGUAAAAAAUAUAUUAUAAACAAAGAAAAAAAAUAUGAUUUAAAAUUUUUUUAUAUAUAACUAAUUUUAAAAUUAUAAAAAAAUUUAGUGGUUACAGAAAAUAUAUAUCAGUGGAAGUGUGGAAUGAACACAUUAAAUUUAAAUAUCAAAAUAAUUAAUAAUUAAAAUAAGUAUAAAUACCCUGAGAUUAAUCAAAUGGCUAUGAAUUAUCACUUCGAACUUCAAGUAGCCUUUGGUUUUGAUGGUCUCUCUGAUAGCUACAAGGUUCUUAGAUUUAUUUGUCCAAAUAAAACUAAACCUAAUGUUGUACCCGUUGUGCAGCCAUAUUCCACUGAUACUGAUUCUUGGAAAGUGAUCAAAGUUCAUGAUAUGAAACCAUAUCGCAAGUUAUUUGUUGCCCAAAUCUAAAACUUGGUCCUGUUAUUAAUAGAGUAAUAUUGUAUAUGGGUCAUAUAGGACUACUAAUAUCAUUCGAUUUGCACACUGAGCUGUUUACAUCACUCUUAUUCCCAAAAGGUAAUUUAGUGAAGUCUGAGAUUUUGGAUUUCGAAGGUUCUGUUGCUGUCAUCUUUGAAUAAUGAAUCCAAAAGGAAACCUUCAUGGUGAAUGCUAUUGGAUCAAGAAGUUUAUUAUUGACAUACGUUGUGUACAUUCUUAUUGGGGGGUGGACUGCUUUACGGAAAAAAAAAUAUUUUGUACAACUAUAGAAAUAACGAAUUCAAGUCUUUUCCAUGUCUAGCUAAAGGGCUUGAAGCAGUCUUAAGGUGCACAGAGACCCUCGCUUCAAUAGAAGGGUUUGAACAUAGGGUUUUAUUCGUAUCGAAGGUCUAUCCUUAAUUAGUAGAGUAAAUCUGGAUGCUUGUUAUCAUGCUAUGAAUGGAUAUAUAAUGAAGUUACUUAAUGAGUCCAAAGGUUUUCAGUUUGGUUGUUCUCUACCCACAUUCUCAUCUUCAGGGCUCAGGUAAUUACUUAUUUUCAGGAACACAAAAUCUUCUAUGAUUAUACAAAGAGAGACUUCAAGACUUUGCCGUGUCUAGCAAGACUUGUAUGUUUCAAUCGAAGGGUUCCAGUGACAUCUAAUUUUUAUCCUUCAAGGUAGAAAUCUGUAUCCUGCUGUGAAUGUCGUAUCUCUUAAAAUUUUUACACAUAUGGUUAAGUCCUUUCAAAUUGUUAUGCACCUAUAUUCUCGCUUAUAAGGUGCUUUUUCUCCUCUCUUUUUCAUCUUAAGUUGAGUUAUUUACGUUUGCUCUGUGAAUAUUGAGCUUCGAAGCUGUACAACUACCAGUCAAUCUGUUUCAAUUAUAGCAGAGACUUUAAUUAAGUAUGUCUUUUGGAGGAUGAUAUUACCGCACUAUUGUGGUUUAUAGCGACGAAAGAGAAACUAUUGACUCUGCUUUUCUUAAAAAAAUGUCUAAGGACCAUUUUUCUUAUGAAAAAAAAAUUACUCUCCAAAAAAUUGGUCAUUGAUCACCUUUUUGACAACUAAUUAUAAAUCUGAAGUUCUGGCAUGUAAUAAUGGAUAAAGUUCAGUCACCACUUAGCACUUUACUCAUAAUUAAAUUAUACAAACAUAAUAGAGAUUUAAUUAUACAACCAUAAUAUACCACAUUUGCCACAAUCUUGAUAAAAAAAGAAAACCACAUUGAAGAAAAAAAAAACCAGAGUAAUGAAAAAUAGGAAAUCAACAAGUACUGGGAUUCCAGAAGUGAUCAGCUCCUUAUUGAGUAAUAUCAAUGUGAGGAAAGUGAGCAACUCUGUAAUAGUCCUGUCCUUGUGUGCCAUUUGUCGUGCAGAGUUUGUGUAUGAAAUCUAUAGGCAUACUGUCUAACCAUAAAUGCUGAAGAGAAGUGAGAAAUAUCAGACCUUCUGGAAGCUCCUCUAACAUCCAACAACGAUCAAUCCUUAAGUUGGUGAGAAGGGACAUGCUGCCUUCCUCUAUAUUCCAUUUCACCAAGUUGGGGAGCAUGCACAGUAUAAGACUGGUGAGUUUCGGAAAACCCUUGGACGAGCACACCAUCUCCUUCCCCACAUAUGAGUCGUAGGAUAAAUCCAGAUAACGCAGUGUAGGAAACUUCUCCAGUACUGGCAUUGGGUCAUCUACCAGGAGCGAAUACUCUAACGUCAAGGAAGUGAUACGAAUUGGAGAUUCUACAACAUGAUUAUUGAUAUUCCGCGGUUGGUUCUCAAAUAAUUGAGCCAAUUCUGCAAGCUGACCACUUAUGUUUAACAUCUGAAGGAUGGAAUUAUAAUCCCAAAACAACUCUCUCACGUCCUCUACUGGUUGAUCAUAAAAAGUAAGAGAAAGUCCUAAGUACCGGAGAUUUGAAGAUGAUGACAAGGCUAGUGCUGACAGAUUUUUCAUGGUCUCUUUCACAUCAGCAUAACUACUGUAUAUUUCUAAUUUUAGUUUCUGAAGAUUGAUUAGUUUCGGAAGAUCCUUGGCUUCACACCACAGGUUACUGAAGUUCUCCAAUGUCUCUAACUUGCCCAACCCAUCAAACCUUAAUUUUUGUUUCUUUGGAGCAGUCCUCCAUUCACUAAUAGGUAAAUACAAAUGCCGCAAAUGUCCCAGCUUGCCCAGAACAUUUCUUGAAAGCCAUGAUGGAAUGGAUAUAAGACUGAUUACAUCUAAUUUGAGAGUUUGGAGUAGCACCAUGCUCUGUAUAGAUGGCAUCAAUGACAAGGAAACGUUCCUUACACUAAGAUAUCUUAGGUACACAAGGCUUCCUAACGCUCUCACAAAACUUCUAGGAUAAAGUAUACCAUCUACUUCAGCAUUUUCCAUGGAAAAAACUCUUAGGAACCUGAAAUUAGCAACAUGUGACCCCACUACUUUCGGUAAACCUGGCCACCUAAAGCAAGUGAAUACACCAUCACUGAAUAAUAACAUUGAUCGAUAUUGUUGUUGCUUGCAUUUCUUGACAAAGUAGGAUUGAAUUUGUUUGCUUAUAUGUUCCUCAUCAUAGUAAACUACAAGUUGUCGACUGUCAACCGCCCUGAAAUCUGCUGAAGGAUUGAGAUGAAAAUCAUUUCCUUCUCAAAGAUCAAUAACAUCAGAAAAAUCUACUGCUUUUGCUUGGGAGAUAGAUAGGUCUCUCAUAAGGUCAUGAAGUGAAGAAGAUUUUAUCUUUGUACGCGAGUUCUCCAUAUCUUCAUAUCUCACUUGAACCAUACUCCGAUGUACCAGUUCCCUCAUAUACGAUUCAGCUACUUGCAUCAUUGUCUCUUCUUCCCUUUUAUCAGUCGACAGUACCAACCCUUCGGCAAUCCAUAACUGAUAUAGAGUCUCUACUUCUAUCUGUUCAUCUUCACCAAAUUUACCUAAAUACAGAAAAUAUGGCUUUAAUUGUGGGGGUAAAUCAUUGUAACUCCAGACUAGAACAUGAAAUAAUUCUCUUUGCUGAUCUUCUCCCAAUCCUUUUCCCUGCUCCAGGGACCCUAAACUAUCAGCAUAUACCUUCUCCCACUCCAUCACUGAAGGUUUUGUUACAAGAAUUCCGCCUAAAAUGACUAUAGCUAGUGGAAGACCGGCACAUUUUUUAACCAUUUCUCUUCCCAAUCUUUCCAUCACAGUAAAAAUAUCUCUG
rnacentral:lncRNA from 1 species